UUAUUAUCUUCAUCUCACCUUCAUCAAGAACUACCAUCAUCUACAUCAUCAUCAUGAUCAUUGUCUUAAUUUCUUUUUCAGUUGCUGUGAUGAAAUACUCUGACAAAGCAACUCAAAGAAGAAAGGGUUAUUGUGACUCACAGUUGAAGGAUGCACAGUUCAUCAUGGUAGGGAUGUCAGGUGACAGGAGCUUGGAGUAGCUGUCACAUCACAUCUGUAAUCAAGAUUUCUCUCUCAUUUUUCAAGAAGGCUGGAUUAUGCUUGCUGUGUGAUGAUGGCAGUGUUCCAAGAGAGAGUAAGAAGAAGCAGGAAUGUAAAUGGCAUCCACAGCUUAUCAUUGGUUACAUCUUGUUUAUGGCAGAAAUCCUACUCAGAAG
rnacentral:lncRNA from 1 species